CUGAUGUGAUGACUUUAUCCCGAACCUGAGUUCAUGUGAAUGAAAUGGUUUAUACGGAUCUGAUUUCUGAUCU